UGUGGGUAUAGCUCAGUUGGUUGAGUGCUUGCCUAGCAUGCACUGAGACCCUGGGUUCAAUCCCCAGCACCAUAA
rnacentral:tRNA from 1 species